UACAGAGGGUGCGAGCGUUAAUCGGAAUUACUGGGCGUAAAGCGUGCGUAGACGGUAGCGUAAGUCAGAUGUGAAAGCCCCGGGCUCAACCUGGGAAUUGCAUCUGUGACUGCAUAGCUAGAGUACGGUAGAGGGGGAUGGAAUUCCGCGUGUAGCAGUGAAAUGCGUAGAUAUGCGGAGGAACACCGAUGGCGAAGGCAAUCCCCUGGACCUGUACUGACGCUCAUGCACGAAAAGCGUGGGGGAGCAAACAGG
rnacentral:rRNA from 1 species